GGGCAUAUGGAGGUUCCCAGAUAAGGGGUCAAUUUGGAGCUACAGCUGCUGGCCUACACCACAGCCACAGCAACGCAGGACCUGAGCCUAGUCCGUGACCUACACCACAGCUCACGGCAAUCCCGGAUCAUUAAACCGCUGAGCGAGGUCAGAGAUCAAACCCACAUCCUCAUGGAUACUAGUCGGGUUCAUUACCACCGAGCCACACUGGGAACUCCAUAAGCACAUUCAUUACCUGCUGACUGCUGGCUGAGUGCCAGGCUUUGGGCACACAUCACCAAGAAGGUGAUGCCUUUGCUGGAGGAGAGAAUUGAGGCUCAGAAAGGUGACGAAAGUCCAUUAAAUUCAUACCAAUGGGAAGCUGGCUCACAAGUGAGGAUGCAACGCACAGCUGCCUAACACAAGAAGGUGUCUAAUGAUUACACAACUUCAAUCUCAGGAAAUCCCAAAGAGACCCCAGUGGCCAUGUGAACAGGGGGACCACGUCCCAUGGUAAGAAGUUAACACAAGGGGACUGGACAGCGGGUGACCCAACACCCUCAACGUCCCCAACACCCGAGCUCCUCCUCGCCACCUCCUCGGUGUCUGCAGCACUCUAAUUCCACUUGCUUUUCAUUUUUACAGCCAUCUUUUCUCGAAAGAAACGAGUGUAAGGAGACUUCCUCAAAGAGCAUCCUGUUGUAUCCAUGAUGCCCAAAGCCUGGGAGAAACCAAGGUGUGCUUUAGCAGGUGACCCCAUAACUAAGCCAUGGGACAUCCGGACAGUGCGAUAUUAUUCGGGGCCAAAAGAAAACCAACUGAGAAGUCAAGCAGACGCAGAGGAACCUUAAAUGCAUGUUCCUAAGUGAAAGAAUCUAACUCGCACAGGCGACAUGCUGUAUGGGUCUAAGUACAUGACACCCAGGAAAGGGGAAAACUAUGCAGACGGUAAAAACAUCAGUGGAUGGGGAGUUCCCGUCGUGGCUCAGCAGAAACAAGUCUGACUAGCAUCCCUGAGGACACAGGUUCAAUCCCUGGCCUCACCAAGUGGGUUAAGGAUCCAGUGUUGCCAUGAGCUGUGGUGUAGGUCGCAGACACGGCUCAGAUUUGGCGUGGCUGUGGCUGUGGUGCAAACUGGCAGCUACAGCUCCAAUUAGAGCCCUCGCCAGGGAACCUCCACAUGCCGCAGGUGUGGCUCUAAAAAGACGAAAAAAAUAAAAUUAAAAAAAAAAAAUCAGUGAUUGCCAGGGGGAGGGAGGAGGGAAGGAUGAGCAGAUGGAGCACAGCGGAUUUCUUCAGGCAGCAGAACUCCUGUGGGUGGUAUUACAACCGCAAUACCCAUCACUACACUCUUGCCAAAAGCCACAGACUGUACGAUGCCAAGAGUGAACCCUAAUGUAAUACGGCCUUUGCAUGUUCAUGACGCAUGAACAUGGGUUCUCUGGUUCUAACAAACAACCCCUCGGGUGGGGGACGUUGAUGGCGGGGGAGGUUGUGGGAUCAGGGGGUUUAUGGGAAAUUGCUGUACGUUCCCACAGUUUGGCUCUUCACCUGAAGCUGCUGGAAAAUAGAGCCUCUCGAUAAACACAUGUGUAUAUAUAUGCAUAUGUAUUUUGUACAUGUACACGCAUAAAAUGUGCAUAUAUGAAAUGUGUAUGUGUGUUAGAUAUGUCAAUACACACAUACAUAAAACGAAUGUUAAGAAGCACACUGUCAUCCCCACAUAGUAACUUUACUCAGAGAGUCCCCAGAUCCUAAACUUACAUUUUUUUCAUAAUGUCCGCCCUCUCUUCCCCACACUUGCCCCUUUUGAUACCGCCAAACUCCUCCAGAAUGAGGUCCCGGUAACAGGACUGAUUAAUUACCAACAGAUUGACUUCUAUGGGGAGAAUGGCGGCACAGUCUUUCUACUUAUCAAACAGACCUGGAAGCCACAGACCCAGGGAACGCGAGGACAAAGAUCUCAUGAGGGCCUGAGAGUCCUUGAUAAUGGGAUUAAGCUUAUUUUCCUCCCAACUCCAAAGGGGCCCAGUUACGUCCAUGUGGCUGUGUCUUCUCUCCUUCGCAAUGUGCGCCGCGUACUCACAAGGACUUCUUCCCAGCCCGUCUCGACCAAGACUCCCGGGGAACAGAGAUGGAAGAUGGAACCAAAGGAUGGCUUGGACGCAACGCCGGCAAGAGGCCAACGCCUCCUGAAGUGCCAGACACACACCAGCAGCGGAACCGACCUUUACCGAAAUGAACAUGUUGGGGAAGAAAACAUUCUCGAGUCAAAGGCCAACCAAUUCUCGGAUCGUAUCUCUCAGCACACUUAGGUUCAAUGCAACCCAUGCAGGGUUGCCAGACUCUUCACAAACAGCAUCUAUUUCUAGCAGGUGCUAAAUACUCUCUUUUCAGUUACCUUUUUUUUUUUUUUUUUUUUUUUUUUUGGUCUUUUUAGGGCCACACUUGCAGCA
rnacentral:lncRNA from 1 species